AACUUUCAACAACGGAUCUCUUGGCUCUCGCAUCGAUGAAGAAAGCAGCGAAAUGCGAUAAGUAAUGUGAAUUGCAGAAUUCAGUGAAUCAUCGAAUCUUUGAACGCACCUUGCGCCCCUUGGUAUUCCGAGGGGCAUGCCUGUUUGAGUGUCAUG
rnacentral:rRNA from 1 species